AACUGUAAAGAUGAACCCUAAAAAGUUCUAAAAGCACAAAGAUUUGGUCCUGGUCUUAUUGUCAGUUAUCUCUUGAUUUACACAUGCAAGUUCUCAGCACACCAGUGAGGACGCCCUUACCCCUUCUAUAGGACAAGGAGCUGAUAUCAGGCACUUCCACCGCCCAUAACAUCUAGUCCGACCACACCCCCAAGGGUAUUCAGCAGUGAUAAACAUUGUUUAUAAGCGACAGCUUGACUCAGUCAAAGAGAAGAGGGCCGGCCAACCCGGUGCCAGCCGCCGCGGCUAAACCCUAGGGCCCAAAUUGAUAAUACUCGGCGUCAAUCGUGAUUAAAGCUUUCUAAAAUUAGAGUAGAACCUAUUAUUAAGCUGUGAAAAGCAAUUUUUUUAGGGAAAAUCAGAAACGAAAGUUACUCUAAUAUACACUUGAACACACGACAACUGGGAAACAAACUGG
rnacentral:rRNA from 1 species